UUUGUUUGCUAUAACAAUAACUGUAUUCAUCUAUUUGUAAAUUAAGGUGGUACCCAACACUUUCACGAAAUUAAUUUUGCUCGUUGAAUUUUCAUAAAAUUUUGACAAUGUAUUUACCUUUUCCCUUUAACAUAAAUGUAAAAAUUUUAAACCAACCGUUUAGUCAGAAAUAUUACACUGUUAUAUAGCAGUUUGACAAACACCAAUUUUGAUCAUUGAGAAGCUUGAUAUUCCCUUUACAACACAACGUAAUUAAAACGUUUAGCUGACUUUACAGAGUUAUCUCCCUGUUGUGUUAGGUACCACCUCAAAGUGAUUUGCUAUUCACUUAUAUAUGUAUGUAUUGUUUGACUGUAUUGUUGUUAUUUGUCCAUAUUUUUGUUUUGUAUUUGUUACAGCUCUUUAUUAGUAUAUUCUUCUUUUAUUUGUUGAAAACUAUAAUUUAAUGCUCUUUAAAGAAUUAUUAAUCUGUAAAGGGAGAUAAUUUCAAACAAAAAGAGUUAUUUCUCUUUAUUUCCAAAAAGGUAUUUCCCUUGUGUUGGAUAUAAGGAGGGCCUUAUAGAGAUGUUUACCUUCAUAAAAAAUGGGAAGUAACUGUUAAAAAAUUAGAAGUUUUAACUUAACGAGUUAUUUCCCUUUGUGAACAAUCUUAAAUGUAUGUUUACCAAAAAUUUACCCUUAUAUCAAGGGGAGAUAAUUGAAAUCUAUAAAGGGAAGUAAUCAAUACAAAACUGAAUGUAUGACUUGUUUGAUGUAGGUGUUUGAUACCGGUAAAGUAAAACUGCUUUAUAUUUGUAUUUUAUACUUGUACAGUACAGUAGAAGUACGUCUGAAUGCUAUAUCUGUGAUGUCACUUCUGUAAUUAUGCACAAUUUUAUCAUUUUAUAAUCACAUAAUUCAUUUUAUCAUUCAUCAUAGUCAAACCAGGUUGCAGUAUCUUUGAAAAAUUUGUCUUUACAGCGGAUUUCAUUGAGUGUGUAGCAAAAUGUAAUAUCUUUGGUUAGCUUGCUUGUCAGUUGAACCGUGAAGUCAUUGUUAGGUUAGGUAAAAUAUCCUACUUUAAGAAUAGACUAGUCUGACAGAAAACUAAUCAAUUUGUCUGUUGGACUAUGCUACUUCGAAAGCAGGGUAUUAUACCUGACUUAAUAAUGACUUCAUGGUUCAGCUAGCAAGCAAGCUAACCAAAGUUAUUAGCUUUAGCUACACACUCAAUGGAAUCCACUGUAAGUUCUUAAUUGUUUUAGAAUUAAUGGCUGUGUCUUAUAUUACAACACACACAAGAUGAUUUGAUCAAAUAUAAUUCCUCUCUUUUUGUGGUGAAUUAUGCUGCUGGUGAAUGAUUUGCACUGAAAUAUUUAUGUACAGUGAAACCUGUCUAUACCAAACUUUAAAAUUUUGUUUGGUUUUGACAGAAGUUCAGUUUCUUCAGGUUCUAGAUGCGUACACUUCUAGUUUACGCAAGAUUGGUUUAGAGAGGUUUCACUGCAUAUUUGUAAUUUAUCAGAAUUCACCCCAAAUCACUACUUUACAGGAAGUCCUAUAACACUAUCUUUGGUUAAUUUUAGUUUCAUCAUCUUGAGUGUACUGUAAAAAGAGAAAAUUGUAUACAGGACCCAUUUACAUGGUCAUGCAUGUGACAUAGUCUGAAUUUUAAUCUCACCAAUUAGAUGACAUCAAGUAGUCAUAUGACCUAUAAAUUAGAGGUGAAAGGUUAAAACCAUAUCCAUCUUCAUGUUAUGUUACAGAAUUUAAGUCUUCAUAUAGAAUACAUGAUUUGAUUUAUUUGAAAUGUAUAUAAAUGAUUUUUGUAUUAUUAAAUUGUGUGCCUUAUAUUUAUUGUAAAAUUAUGGAAUAUUAUUUUGAAACAUUGAAAAAAAUAAUUGUUUUACUGUUUAACAGUACAAAAUACAACAAGUAUUUAGUCUGGAUGUGUAAAAUAUUAUCAGUAUUUAUUAACUUUGCGGUUAUAACUGAAUAAUUAUUUUAAUUUAUUGUUCUACAAAAACAAUAAUUUCAUUUAAAGAGGAGGAAUAUGUAUACUCUUAAAAAAUCAAUACUUUAUUUGCAGAUUUUAUUUAUUCCGAAAAAUCACCAAAACCCAUCUGAUGGGUAUUUCAUUCUUCAGAUAUGUUUUUAGAAAACAGAAAAGUAUAUUGUAUUAUGGCUUAUGAAAAUGUUGUUUUAUUGACUUGUAAAGUUUUAAAACUUGCCAAAUUUCACUAUUCAUUCUGGAUGUUUGGAAUUAUUUUGAAGUUUUGAACUAAAAAAAUUAUUAUGAAUUCAGGUGUCAAAGUUGACUGUAGAUUUUCCCUUCCUGUCUGAGAGAAACUAAAUCAAUAUGAACUCAUCCAGAAUAAAUGGUCUAAUUGGCAUGCUGUAAAGUUUAAAAGGCUUUACUUAUUCUUGUAACAUUUUCUUGACUAUCUGUUACCAUGGUUACAUUGUACACAUGUCAUACAAUUCAUUAUGUUCUAAGUAAUAAGGUAACGGUUCUUACAUUAAUGCAUCAUACAUGUAUAUAGGGGAAAAAUUAGACAAUUGUUCAUAAUUCUGUUUAGCCUUCUUUAAAAGGUUACACAUUUCCCAUAUCACUAAAAAAGCAAUACAAGAAAAAUACCUAAAAAAAUAUAGAUUAUUUCGCAUAAAAAAAUCAUGAAAUUUUUAAAGGAAUAUCUUUAUAUAUCCUCAUCAUGAAAAUUGACUAUUUCUAAAUUAGAAUUCAAUAUGAUGUGUAUAACAUGUAGGAAGAGGGAAUCUUGAUGAAGAAAGCACUUUAAUUCAAUCAAAAUAAAAAAUAAUCAAAAUGUACUGAUGAAGACCCCCACCAAAAGAAAUUAAAAUUUGCUUUAUUUGAGUUGUUAUAGGCAAUUAACAUGUGACUAAAAAUAAGUGGGUUUUUGUAAAUAUGAGUUUUAAAGUAAUUGGUUUUAUCUUAAAUUGCAGUUUCAAAAGAAUUAUUCGAUUUAUAGAAUAAUCAUUAUUAAUCUUUUUUCAUUGUUUAAUAUCUUAAAAUAGAUAAAAUAAUUAGUAAAAAAAUAAAUUUUAAUUAAGUUUUUGUUUUAGUUCAUGCUAUUUUUUUAUUCACUGAUUUUAAUUUUGUUUCUUUUCACUGGUGGACAGUAUACAUAAAUUAAUCAGACUAGUGAUUAUCAUGAUUAUAGAUUUAUGAUUUUAUUGAUUAUAGACAAUUAUUUGGAGUUGGGGAUACACUUAUUAGUUUGAAAUCACAGGGGACUUGGAGAAAAAUAUCAGACAAUCAUAAUCAUGAUUUGGUAGGAAUUAAAACUUAACUCAUCUUAAUGUCCGUCAACAUUGACCUUUAUUCAUUUCUUUUAGUAUUUCAUUGUGAUAUAACCUCUGGGUUGAUGCCCCUUAAGGCAAACAUCAGUUGUUCAAAAUUUAAUAUAUACUGUCAAUGAAAACUAAUUACAUCUAUUAUUCAUUAUUCUGCACUAAGACAGAAACCUGUAUGGUUCUGUCUGAAAGGCUUUGCAUACUCUGUUUUUAUAAAUAGCUUUGCAUUCUUAGAAUAGAGUAAAUAAACUAUCCCCAAACAUUGAAGUUUACCUUGUAUUGGAUAGAGCUUUACUGGUAUUAUAUCUUGACCACCAUUUUGAAAAUAGUCAUCUCUGUUUGUUUUUAGUUACUAAGGAUUCAUUUAUUUUCGUGGGUACCAAUUUUCGUCGAUUAAGGGAAACUUGCAUGUUCGUUGAUAUUUAAUUUUGUGAUUUUGGCUAAACUUUGUCAUUUGUCAAACAUUUAAUUUCGUGGUUCACCUGUUCCCAUGACAUCCACGAAAAUUGGUAUCCAACGAGUAAUAAAGAAUUCAAAGUACACACUCAACAGAGCUUCAAUAUAUUUUGUGUACUAAAACUAAUGCUUCAUGUUGACAGACUGUAGAAAGUUAGUAUUAUUCUUACCAAAUUAUGUACAUACACCUACUUGAUUAUCGUGUUCAAAUGAAUGACCAAUAAAUGAUAUCAUUUUUA
rnacentral:lncRNA from 1 species